AACUGUGUAAACAAAAAGAUAAACAUACAGUGCAUGUCCGAAAGUCUAUUGAUCCGACACCGACCUUUCCGAGGUGCACUUGAACGCCUCCUCGGAAAGCGGGACACUUAUGAGAAGAACGCUGCACGCUCCUUUUUUGGUCUCGCGCUUAGGGAGGAAAAGGGACUUACGUAACCCUUUUUUCCCGUGAUAUUUGUGUGCGUUUAUGAAACCCCAGACCACACACACACAAGUACACACUCAAACCCACUAACAUACACUCCUGGAAACCUGUAUACUCACUGUUGUUGAGAAUAAAGUUGAUGCAAGAUUCUCUGACCGGACUCGUCCAUAGUGCUCCAUCCCUAACCACUAAUCCACAUCUUUACAGCGCAUUUGUUAACAAUAAAUCAAUAUGCUCAAACUAAUCUCCUUUGGUCUCUUUUCACAUCCUAUUGCACUACUGCUAAUAAACGGCAUCACAAAACAUAUACCGUAAUUUUCCAUGUAUAAUACGGACCCUAAAAAUGGCAUG